rnacentral:rRNA from 1 species
UACGAAGGGGGCUAGCGUUGUUCGGAUUUACUGGGCGUAAAGCGCACGUAGGCGGAUUGCUAAGUCAGGGGGGAAAUCCUGGAGCUCAACUCCAGAACUGCCUUUGAUACUGAAGAUCUUGAGUUCGGGGAGAGGUGAGUGGAACUGCGAGUGUAGAGGUGAAAUUCGUAGAUAUUCGCAAGAACACCAGUGGCGAAGGCGGCUCACUGGCCCGAUACUGACGCUGAGGCACGAAAGCGUGGGGAGCAAACAGG